UAUUUAGCUGUCUGUCGUCUGCGGAAUGCGAAUAAAUGUCACCAUCGGAACUGACAUCAAAUCACAGUGAUGAGGCAGCCAGAAAAUGAGUGCAACUUUCAGGCAGACAACAGUCAUUUUGAGGAGUUGCUAUGUAAGACCUUCAACAAGAUGAAGGAGAGCAUCUAUGCACAGAUCCAUGCAGAGCUUAUCUGACUAAUGCUUCGGAGAGACUAAGACUGACAGAGUACAAUGGACUCACCAAACCUGAACUUGUGGAAGAUGGACCUGGGUUUACCACUGGACAGAGAAAAUCUCCGCUAAGAAAACUCUUCAAUGGUGGUUGCCAAGCAAUCUGUGACACUGGGACCUCUUAUUUGACCCGGCCAACAUCAGGAUGUGGAACAGAUUCUAAGGUUGAUCAGAGCUGCACCUCCUGUCGAUAUCAUCAAAGUAAAGGAAACCGAGAUGUAAGAGACACUUGGCAAGGGUGGAUUCAUCAGAAAAGACAUCUAAAACCCAUGGGCGCUCUUUGGAUCCUUGGUGACAUCUUCAUUGGUAAUAACUACCCGGAGUUAACCAAGAUGGGAGAGACACUUUGCAAGAGUGGAUUCAUCAGAAUAGACACACCUAUAAACCUCUUUGGAUCCUCAGUGACAUCUUCAUUGGUAAUAACUACUCCAAGUUUGAUCAAGUGAAAGUAAUAGUUUCCCAUCUUAUAAAAAAAAAUUCAGUGUAAUAGGAAACAUCAUUAUAUUUUCCAUGGCACAACUGAAAACAUUUAGGCAUAACGUAAAAUAGAGGCCCAAUUUUCAGUGUAACAGUUCUUUGAAGUCUUAUCAUUUUUUUGGCCAAAAAUGAGUGAAAACAUGUUGCCCACCUAUAUAAUCUUAACCAUUUUCGUUAUUUGCCCAUUUGAAGCUGCAAUAACCAAGAGAAGACAAAAUGAGUACAAACAUGUUGCCCACAUACAAUCUCACCCAAUUUGCCAAUUUGCUUAUUGGGGGGGGCAAAUUUUGCCCCCCCCCCCAAAAAAAAAAAAAACAACAACAACAGAUUUUGAUCAUUUGUGAACUCACCUUUAUUUUGUGCAAUGGGAAACAUAACUUUAUUUUUGUUUAGCCUAACUAAAAGAAACAAAAUGUUGCCCACCUUUUACCCAAAUUCAGUGUAAAAUUCAAUAUAUAAUUUUGUAUGGACCAACUUUGAACAAACAGUAUUUUUUGAUGUUUUCAGAAACAUGGCUAAUGUUUUUUGAACAAACUGUAUUUUUUGGUGUAAUAAGAAACAUGGCUGUUUUUUUACCUAAAUUUGGGCAAUAGGUGAGCAACAUCUUUUUUCUCUCAGUUAGGCAUAACAAUUAAAAUUAGAGGUAGUAUACAGGAUAGUGCAGGAUAAUGGUCAUCUUAAAACAAAAUUGAAAGCAUACUGAUUUUGGAAAAAUUUAUCUGAAAAAAUGUCUGGGAAAAAAUGGAUCUUACAUCAAUGCUUGUUUUAGAAACCAAACUUUUUUUUUCUUCUCCUGUUUCACACAUCAGAGUUUAACUUUUUGUCAGCUCUACUGAAGGCACUUGACACUAUUGGUAAUUACUCAAA